GGAAGGAGAAACACAUAUUACACCCUGCAUUGUUUGGUAAACGCGCAGAUUCAGCUGUUUAUAUAUCAAUCAGUAUGGCGACUAAGUCAGGGAAAGCUAAAUGUAAGUCUAGAUAUACAGAUGUACACACAAUUUUAGAAGAAAUUGAUUGGGAAAGUGAGACAGAGAUUCUUGUAGGACGAUUAAUUUAGUGAUUGUGGAGGAAUAUAUUUUGAAUGGGAGAGGACAUCGUUUUGGACUGGCUAUGAAAAAUACAAAAGACAGGACAUUGAGUGUUGAACUCUACAGCCACCCUGUGCCGUGACGGCUGAUUUCCUCCUCUUCGUCUGAAGAGGAGGAAGAGGUGUAGCAGGGAUCGGACCAACAUGCAGCGUGGCCAAAGGCUUUGAGUGGAGUUACCUGGGGAAGGUCCACGGUUCAUAAACAGUCUCUGCUGCACCUGUUCCUUAGUGGUAGACAACUACCUGCUGACCUUUACUCUGAGAUAGGAGCUAUCACACGCUCUGCCAAGCCUACGGCGUGAGGGAGAUCAGUGUCCACCGGUUCAGUAAGAACCGACCACCGUGAACCCAACAAGACCCUGCGACAAGAUGAUCAUGGACGUCAACGCACCCGUCAACAGGUACAACAGGCAUGAACAUCCCCGCAGCGGUGGAGUCUCCGAGGUCAGAGGUCAGAUGAGGCUGAUGAGAUCACGGAUCACAUCGUGAGGUCAGCCACUCAGGGCACAAGUCAGAGGGCAGUGCCCCGGGAGAGGAGGAGGUCACGAGCCUACAGCCAAUCACGUAGGUCUUCACUCACUCACAGCCAAUCACAUUUGGUCACACCAGGAACCACUUUUACGCCAGCCCAGCUCUAACGCAUUGGGUUAAUCUAAUCAAGGGUUGGGUUUUGGAAAAGGGUGUAGUGCUGGGCGGAAACAAAAGCAUGUUCACUCUGUAACUUUCCAGGUUUAAAACCCAGAAAUCAGGUUUAGUCAUGAGAAUACAUGAGAAUACAUGAGAAAACUACUGACUUUAAAGAGCAGACCAGUGAAUACUCAUGAUGCCUUUCUCUCUCUCGUGUGUGUGUGUGUGUGUGUGUGUGUGUGUGUGUGUGUGUGGUGAGGCGGACUCUAAAAAGCGGUCUAACUCCAUGGAUUCGCUGACGCCCCCAUGAAGCGCCAUGGAAACGCACCAUGGAAACGCCUUCGUGACUCCAUGUCACGCUUCUGCCUUCACCCC